ACAAUUAAUAAACCUGUACAUUUUGCAUACCAACUGUUGAUUUAUUUAUGUGUACACAUAUGCAGUGAAGAAUAAACUAUUUUAUUUGCUUACAAGUUACUGUAGUAAACCAUCUGCUUGGUGCUAGACUUUGGUGUAUGUUUCGCAACUGUUGCGCAAUAACAUAAAAUUUACUUAAUGCCAUCACCUGUACUGCCAAAUUAUUCGAAUUUCCAUUUAAAUUGAAAGAAAAAUGCCAGAAGAAAAAAAAGUUGAUGAAAAGAAACAGAAAAUGAAACCUUGUUGCGCUUGCCCUGAGACAAAGAAAGUAAGAGACGAAUGUAUAGUUCAAAAUGGAGAAGAAAAUUGUCAUGAUCUGAUUGAGGCCCAUAAAGAAUGUAUGAGAAAAAUGGGAUUUAAUGUUUAAUUUAAUCAAAACAUGUACAGGUCUUGCAAAUAUGUUGUUUUGAGAAGUACUGAUCAGUGGCCAUUAGAAUUCAUCCCAAUAUGUAAAGUUAUGAAUCUUGUUUCAUUCACACUAUGAACAUUCUGGAAACACUUUAACUUUUAGAUGUAUAUUGAAGUGGUUCUUAUUAUUGAUACUGCUUAAUUAUGUAGAAAACUCUUAUAAACAGGUAUUAAAGUUAAGUUGAGAAAGAAAA